GUUGAUCCUGCCGGACCCUACUGCUAUCGGGGUGGGACUAAGACAUGCGAGUUGUACGUUUUUAAGCCAUGGUAGAGACGUGGCGUACGGCUCAGUAACAUGUGGCUAACCUACCCUUAGGACGGAGACAACCCCGGGAAACUGGGGCUAAUACCCGGUAGAUUAGGAGGCCUGGAAUGGUUCCUAGUCGAAAAAGGCGUUGAAACCAUGCUUUUCAACGUCGCCUAAGGAUGGGGCCGCGCCCGAUCAGGUUGUUGGUGAGGUAACGGCUCACCAAGCCUAUAACCGGUACGGGCCGUGAGAGCGGGAGCCCGGAGAUGGGCACUGAGACAAGGGCCCAGGCCCUACGGGGCGCAGCAGUCGCGAAAACUCCGCAAUGCGCGAAAGCGUGACGGGGCUACCCCGAGUGCCGUCCGCUGAGGAUGGCUUUUCCCCGGUGUAAUGAGCCGGGGGGAUAAGGAGAGGGCAAGACUGGUGUCAGCCGCCGCGGUAAUACCAGCUCUCCGAGAGGUAGGGACGAUUAUUGGGCUUAAAGCGUCCGUAGCCGGCUUAGCAAGUCUCCUGUUAAAUUCAGCGACUCAAUCGUUGAGCCGCGGGGGAUACUACUAGGCUAGGAGGCGGGAGAGGUCGACGGUAUUCUCGGGGGAGGGGUGAAAUCCUAUAAUCCUGGGAGGACCACCAGUAGCGAAGGCUGUCGGCUAGAACGCGCUCGACGGUGAGGGACGAAAGCUGGGGGAGCGAACCGGAUUAGAUACCCGGGUAGUCCCAGCUGUAAACGAUGCGGGCUAGGUGUUGGGGUGGCUACGAGCCACUUCAGUGCCGCGGGGAAGCCAUUAAGCCCGCCGCCUGGGGAGUACGGCCGCAAGGCUGAAACUUAAAGGAAUUGGCGGGGGAGCACCACAAGGCGUGAAGCUUGCGGUUUAAUUGGAUUCAACGCCGGG
rnacentral:rRNA from 1 species